AUGAAUUGGCUGUACAUGCCGAGAGAUGAGUUUCGGAUUGGUCUGCUGUGUAGAAUCUUCUGUCUAUAAAAUGAGCUGCUCGUUAUGUGUAGAUAAUCCUUCUACUGCAGUUUUUUCGAAAGAUAUAACAUUAGCCAUGGAGAACUGGAAAUGUGUUGCUAAUGCUCUCAAUAACAUUUCUGCCUUGAAUAUAUCAGGCGCUAUCGACAAAGGUCAGUGGGAAAAAGUUGUGAUGGACUACUUUCAGGAGGACGAUAGCACCAUGCUGACUCUCUCUGACUCUGAAAAUGAAUCAGACGAGGAUAUCCCUGAUUUAGGUAGAAACAUUUUCAUUGAAGAAGACAUUGUAGAGUCUUCUGAUGACAGUGAUGGGGGAAGAAACGGCGAUCAACAUAGUUGUUGUCACGGAAGAAGUUGACCAAGUUUAGAAAUCAGUGGAAUGUCUGGUAGAAGCAGAGUAUGAUAAGGAGAUGAAUAGAAUUCUGUCGUUUGAUUGCAAAUGCAGAGGGAGUCGAAAAGAGAACACAGGUGGCUGUUGUAUAAAACACCUGCCUCCGGAUGACAUCUUCAAACUAAGGGCAACCAUGGCAUCCAUGACAGAGAGAGAGAAAGAUUUGAUGAUUCUUAUGGCAUUGCACACAGUCAGUGUGAACCAGAGUGACUUGACAGAACAACGGGCCAAGCAAGCUGUACAAACUAAACGGAAACGACACAGGACGUCUUAUUUAAUGAAAGGGGUUGCAGUCUGCCGUGAAGCGUUCAUCCAUGCAUACAGCAUCAGUAGAGCACGUCUUACUCUCCUCCGCCAGUCAUACAAGGAGAAUGCCUCCCAUCAAAAAGAGAGCUGUCCCAAGCAAGAACAGGUUACACCUGAAGCAUGAGUACUUGCAAUGAGAUGUGAACUUCAUCAACAACUACGCAGAGGAUAAUGCAAUAGCAUUACCAGAACUCCACCCAGGACACAAAUACUUUGGUGGAAAGCUGCUGCCAUCUCAAGACCAGAGUGACCACUUUGUCUGAGAUUGCUGGUGUUGUGAAGGACAGUACUGUGACGGGUCAACAUCCCACAGCUGGUUGGACUGGAGGAUGGUACGGUGCUGGUGGAAAGCUAUGGCUGGCAACAACACCUGGCUCUGUACUUCAGGCCGCUGACACAGAUCAAGCAGUACCAGCACUUCAGCCUGGUGUUGUUGUCGCCAAGGAGCGUUCGGACUCAGUCGGGACCAGGUUUCAGCUGCUGCACAUCGCUGACAUCCUCCCUCCCGUAGAUGGUCUGCUUGUACAAGCACCACCUGGACUGGACACAGCUAGACAAACUCAUCUUUUUGAGAAGAUCAGGGAGUUUUGUGACUAAGAGGCUAUGUACAUCACAUGCCCUGCACCAAAGGCAAGGGCAGGAUAUCAACGGGAUCUCCAAAUGUAGAUCCCUUUGUUCAUUCGUGGUUCGGACGGACCAGUUCAUCACUGGGUGAGAGUUCCCAGUCAUCAGCGCUAUCUGCAGUGCCUCUAUAGACAUUCACAUCACUUUCUCCUGACAUGUUGCUGCUACUAUUUGUUUUUUUAUCCUGCUGCUCAGCCACUUUUGCCCUCACUGUAUGCAUAUAACUACCUCUAUCACCAGUAUCACUGAUAUUGUUAUUAAUAUUGUUCUUGUACAUACUGUAUAUUAUUUUGUUCCUUCUCUACUGGCAUUGACACUUGUUAUUUUUUAUUUAUAUUGGCAAUCUCUCUUUUUGAUAUUGCUACUAUGCAAGUAACCAUUUAGCUGUACUGU